CUACCCUUCCUCAGCUAGCCCUUACAUUUGUCUGGCUAACAGUAAAAAAAUACUAUAAUAAAUUGGUAACAUAUGUUGCCAGACAAGAAUAAGUGAUAUAAAUAAAGAGUCAAGAGACAUAGACCCUCAAGAAUAAUGCGUAAAGAUUUAAACUUCCAAUGUAUUAGUAAAGCUAGGAACAUUUUAGGAGGAACUUGAAAGUGGUGUUCUGUUUGUUUAUAUCAUUCCUUCUCUUUUUUUUUACCCCCCCCCCUCUCUUUUUUCUUCUCUUCAGAUUGCAUUUUAAAUCAAAAUGUUCUCCAUGACUGACUGCUUUGCAGCACUAGGUGCGCAGCCCCACAAAUUAAAUUGAUGAUUCCCAUAUCGGGCCAAAAAUGCAACAGGAGAAGGCUAUGAAAAAUUAGGAAAUCUUCUUGACAUUGGGAAAUCCGACACUUGUCUGCUCUAACAUCUGUAAGUGCCAAAGAAAGAGGGGGAUUUUUUUCCUUAAAGGUAAGUCUAUUUUUCUUCUUCUUGCCAGCGAUAAAAAUUGUGGUUAGUGCCUAGAGUAAAGGGCCCUCUAAACUUUAUAGUGUUUACCCUCCAUUUAUAAUUCCAUAAUUAUCUAUUUAAUGAUAUCAUAAGGUUAAAAGUUAAACAGCACUGUAUUUUCUCUAUUUUCUCCUCUGCCUUUUAGAAAGGCAGAUUUGCCUAUCUCCAAGGGACGAUCGGUCAGAGUUGUUUUCUGAAGAAGAAGCCUAUAGGUAAAGAGGCAUCCAUAUGUUCACACAGGAAGAUUCAUAAAGGCAAGGACAGGAACAUAAAGGUAUUAUUUUGACAUGAUGACCCCUGGAAAAUGUAUUUGACUCAUCCCAACAACAGCCACCCCCACCCUGCCUUCCCCCUUGCAAAAUACCACGACCAAAAUCACCAGCAACCCAAGCCAGAGACAGACCAACAGGUAAUAUAAAUACUAAAAAUAUAUAUAUUAAAAAAUAGCUUAAAAAAAG
rnacentral:lncRNA from 1 species